rnacentral:rRNA from 1 species
CAGCCGCCGCGGUAAUACGAAGGGUGCAAGCGUUAAUCGGAAUUACUGGGCGUAAAGCGUGCGUAGGCGGUUUGUUAAGUCUGCUGUGAAAUCCCCGGGCUCAACCUGGGAAUGGCAGUGGAUACUGGCAAGCUAGAGUGUGUCAGAGGAUGGUGGAAUUCCCGGUGUAGCGGUGAAAUGCGUAGAGAUCGGGAGGAACAUCAGUGGCGAAGGCGGCCAUCUGGGUCAACACUGACGCUGAGGCACGAAAGCGUGGGGAGCAAACAGGAUUAGAUACCCCUGUAGUCCCUGUCUCUUAUAC